AUCAUUUCUUAGCCUUUUGGGUAAGAUCAAAUAUAAUAUUGUAAUAUUUGGUUUUAUCAGUUUAAUAUUUGAUAUGCCCUCUAUCUGAGGAGAAUACAUUAUAUUAAUUUUUAGAGAUAGGAGAUAGACUAGAAACUUGCUUUGUCAACUGUGUGCUUUGACUUUCAGAAAGAGUUGCAUUU
ensembl:snRNA U2 U2 spliceosomal RNA